GGUUAAGCGACUAAGCGUACACGGUGGAUGCCUAGGCAGUCAGAGGCGAUGAAGGGCGUGCUAAUCUGCGAUAAGCGCCGGUAAGGUGAUAUGAACCGCAAUAACCGGCGAUACCCGAAUGGGGAAACCCGG
rnacentral:rRNA from 2 species